rnacentral:lncRNA from 1 species
GAUAAUUGACGCCGUUCCUACAAUCAUUAGUGAGGAAAUGAAAAUUUUCUACUUCCGCUAUCCCUGUCGUCCCAGUCAACUUGUUGCCGCAAAGACAAAAAAAGACAAGGAAUAACCAUGGCCGGUGAUUUCGUUCCCGAGUCUGAGCUGAAUCUCAAGGGCUGGCAAAGAUACUUCAACACUUACACACUGAGAGGGAGAUUCAAUUGGGUUGCAGCAACAUAUGGAUCAGUCUUUGGAACAGUUAUAUUAUACAAGUUGCUCAAAGGGAAGCCCAAAGCUGUUGCUAGUAAAUAGGAUGCCAGUUUCUUGUUUCAGCUGUGUGAUGUACUUUUAGUAGUAUGUUGUCUUUAAAUGUGGGUGUGUAAUUUGAGAGAGUAUAACAUGUUGAAGUGUCUUUAUGAUAAGUUUGAACAGAUUUGUGUCCUUAGGCCAAAGGUUAGUUGUCCUCAACAAGGAAGUAACCUUAUAAAAUUUCGUCACAUUUUUGGUGAAAAUUGUUUUGUACACUUAUUAUAAAAACAACCACCAGACAGAAUGGAGUAAUAAACAUCUACCCUGAUCAUUUGCUUA